rnacentral:ncRNA from 1 species
AAACGGCAAAACCAUUGAAAAAUGGUGACGCAAAACUAAAGGGGCUAAGGUGUAACAACGAUGCUAGCCAGUUACCGA